GAUGAAGAACGUAGCGAAAUGCGAUACUUGGUGUGAAUUGCAGAAUCCCGUGAACCAUCGAGUCUUUGAACGCAAGUUGCGCCCGAAGCCGUCAGGCCGAGGGCACGCCUGCCUGGGCGUCACACGCCGUUGCCCCCCCGCGCCCCGCACCCAACUCUUUGGGAGCGACCGCGGGGCGGGCUGAUGAUGGCCUCCCGUGCGCUCCGCCGCGCGGUUGGCCCAAAUACCGAGUCCCCGGCGACGUGCGCCACGACGAUCGGUGGUUGAGAGACCUCUGUCGCAAGUCGUGCGCGCCCGUCGCGUCACGCGGGCUCGCAUAGCGCCUCGCGCCGCAUCCGGUGCGGAGCUUUCAACGCGACCCCAGGUCAGGCGGGGUUACCCGCUGAAUUUAAGCAUAUCAAUAAGCGGAGGA
rnacentral:misc_RNA from 1 species